UACGUAGGGUGCGAGCGUUAAUCGGAAUUACUGGGCGUAAAGAGCGCGCAGGCGGUCGCUCAAGUCGCGUGUGAAAGCCCCCGGCUCAACUGGGGAGGGUCACGCGAUACUGAUCGACUGGAAGGCAGGAGAGGGUAGUGGAAUUCCCGGUGUAGUGGUGAAAUGCGUAGAUAUCGGGAGGAACACCGAUGGCGAAGGCAGCUCUCUGGCCUGUAACUGACGCUGAGGUGCGAAAGCGUGGGGAGCGAACAGG
rnacentral:rRNA from 1 species